GGGUCGGUGCCCGAGUGGCCAAAGGGAACGGGCUGUAAACCCGUCGGUUCUGCCUUCGAUGGUUCGAAUCCAUCCCGGCCCACCA
rnacentral:tRNA from 4 species